CAUAAUCAUCUAAGUCUUUUCUAGCUAAUAGAAUCUCAACUCCAAAAUGAUCACUUGCAGUUCUCAAAACUUAAGCACCUAAAUCACUCGUAUCUAUAGAACAACCUACCCAAUUAUAUCAUCACCCUAGUCAUGUAAAUCACAAAUAACCUUAAAGGCAUAACUAAGAAAGAGAGCUGACACUAAAAGACCGAUAAUCCCACAAUCUCAUCACUGAUUUGGUCGCUCAAAUCACUUAGUUGGCUUCGAUUUCAAUGAUCAACCACAUUGUCUUACCAAUCAACAAUCUACGUCACGAAAAAGAAAGAAGAAAGAAAUUUCGUUGAUUCGGUUUUCCCUAAAUAGAAAAAAGAAAAGAGGAAAAUUGCGCAUCGCAUCACAAACGACAGAUCAAGGAUCGAUAUAUCGAAUGGAAACCCUAGAAGGAGGGCAAACGGGGUAAGAAGGACGGACCUUGCGGAGGGCGAUGGCAAGCUCGCCGCGGGUGAAGUUGGCAGUGGCGGCGGUGGUAAGCGGGAUGCCAUUCCGGAACUCGUAGAGGUGGACGUUCUUCUGGAUGUACUCGGUGAACUGCACCCUGCCACACACAGAUCACGGCAAUCGGCCGGCAAAUCAGAGGGCACGGACCGACGAAGAGCGAGAAGAGAAAAACAAAUGAAAGAUUAAGGGGAUGGGAACGGACCGGUCGCCGGCCUCGCCGGAGGCGCCGAGGAGCUUAUGGGAGUCGAGGAUCAUGACCUUGUCCUCGUUGGACUUGUGGACGAGGAUGCUGUGAACC
rnacentral:lncRNA from 1 species